rnacentral:rRNA from 1 species
GGAGGAUCAUUAAUGAUUAACUGUCUGUCGAGCUUGCUCACAGACUUAUCAUAUCCAUAACACCUGUGCACUUGUCGGAUGGCUUAGUGAAGACCGCAAGGUUGGAACUAUCCAUCUACUUUACAUAACAAUUUAGUAACAAAUGUAGUCUUAUUAUAACAUAAUAAAACUUUCAACAACGGAUCUCUUGGCUCUCGCAUCGAUGAAGAACGCAGCGAAAUGCGAUAAGUAAUGUGAAUUGCAGAAUUCAGUGAAUCAUCGAAUCUUUGAACGCACCUUGCGCUCCCUGGUAUUCCGGGGAGCAUGCCUGUUUGAGUGUCAUGAAUACUUCAACCCUCCUCUUUCUUAAUGAUUGAAGAGGUGUUUGGUUUCUGAGCGCUGCUGGCCUUUACGGUCUAGCUCGUUCGUAAUGCAUUAGCAUCCGCAAUCGAACUUCGGAUUGACUUGGCGUAAUAGACUAUUCGCUGAGGAAUUCUAGUCUUCGGACUAGAGCCGGGUUGGGUUAAAGGAAGCUUCUAAUCAGAAUGUCUACAUUUUAAGAUUAGAUCUCAAAUCAGGUAGGACUACCCGCUGAACUUAAGCAUAUCAAUAAGCGGAGGAA